AUAAGCGCACACGGUGGAUGCCUUGGCGGUCAGAGGCGAUGAAGGACGUGGCAGCCUGCGAAAAGUGUCGGGGAGCUGGCAACAAGCUUUGAUCCGGCAAUGUCCGAAUGGGGAAACCCACUGCUUCGGCAGUAUCCUGCAGUGAAUUCAUAGCUGCUGGAAGCGAACCCGGUGAACUGAAAUAUCUAAGUAACCGGAGGAAAAGAAAUCAACCGAGAUUCCCUAAGUAGUGACGAGCGAACGGGGACUAGCCCUUAAGCUGGUAUGGUUUUAGAAAAACAACCUGGAAAGGUUGGCCAUAGAAGGUGAUAGCCCUGUAUUUAAAAGGGCCAUACCAGUGAAGACGAGUAGGGCGGGGCACGUGAAACCCUGUCUGAACAUGGGGGGACCAUCCUCCAAGGCUAAAUACUCCUGACCGACCGAUAGUGAACCAGUACCGUGAGGGAAAGGCGAAAAGAACCCCGGAGAGGGGAGUGAAAUAGAUCCUGAAACCGUGUGCGUACAAGCAGUAGGAGCUCGUAAGAGUGACUGCGUACCUUUUGUAUAAUGGGUCAGCGACUUACUGUUCGUGGCAAGCUUAACCGUAUAGGGGAGGCGAAGGGAAACCGAGUCUGAUAAGGGCGCAUAGUCGCGGGCAGUAGACCCGAAACCGGGUGAUCUAGUCAUGCCCAGGGUGAAGGUCAGGUAACACUGACUGGAGGCCCGAACCCACUCCCGUUGCAAAGGUAGGGGAUGAGGUGUGAUUAGGAGUGAAAAGCUAAUCGAACCCGGAGAUAGCUGGUUCUCCUCGAAAGCUAUUUAGGUAGCGCCUCAUAUGUAUCCUCUCGGGGGUAGAGCACUGUUAUGGCUAGGGGGUCAUCGCGACUUACCAAACCAUUGCAAACUCCGAAUACCGAGACGGACUGUAUGGGAGACACACGGCGGGUGCUAACGUCCGUCGUGAAAAGGGAAACAACCCAGACCCACAGCUAAGGUCCCAAAUUCACUGCUAAGUGGAAAACGAUGUGGAAAGGCAUAGACAGCCAGGAGGUUGGCUUAGAAGCAGCCACCCUUUAAAGAAAGCGUAAUAGCUCACUGGUCGAGUCGGUCUGCGCGGAAGAUUUAACGGGGCUAAGCAGUGAACCGAAGCUUGGGGUGCAUCGCGUUAAGCGAUGCGCGGUAGAGGAGCGUUCCGUAAGCCUGCGAAGGUGGAUUGAGAAGUCUGCUGGAGGUAUCGGAAGUGCGAAUGCUGACAUGAGUAACGAUAAUGCGGGUGAAAAACCCGCACGCCGAAAGCCCAAGGUUUCCUUGCGCAACGUUAAUCGGCGCAGGGUGAGUCGGCCCCUAAGGCGAGGGCGAAAGCCGUAGUCGAUGGGAAGCAGGUUAAUAUUCCUGCACCUCGCGUAAGUGCGAUGGAGGGACGGAGAAGGUUAGGUGUACCGGGCGUUGGUUGUCCCGGGGAAAGGCGGUAGGUUUGGAUCCUUGGCAAAUCCGGGGUCCUUUAAGACCGAGCACCGAGACGAGUCUUUGAGACGAAGUCACUGAUACCACGCUUCCAGGAAAAGCUCCUAAGCUUCAGCUUACGCAGACCGUACCGUAAACCGACACAGGUGGGUAGGAUGAGAAUUCUCAGGCGCUUGAGAGAACUCGGGUGAAGGAACUAGGCAACAUGGCACCGUAACUUCGGGAGAAGGUGCACCCUUUUUGGUGGCUCGUGCGAGCUAUAGCUGAAGAGGGUCGCAGAAACCAGGCCGCUGCGACUGUUUAUCAAAAACACAGCACUCUGCAAACACGAAAGUGGACGUAUAGGGUGUGACGCCUGCCCGGUGCUGGAAGGUUAAUUGAUGGGGUCAGCCGCAAGGCGAAGCUCUUGAUCGAAGCCCCAGUAAACGGCGGCCGUAACUAUAACGGUCCUAAGGUAGCGAAAUUCCUUGUCGGGUAAGUUCCGACCUGCACGAAUGGCGUAACGACAGCGGCGCUGUCUCCACCCGAGACUCAGUGAAAUUGAAAUCGCUGUGAAGAUGCAGCGUUCCCGUGGCAAGACGGAAAGACCCCGUGAACCUUUACUAUAGCUUUACACUGAACGUUGAGUUCGUCUGUGUAGGAUAGGUGGGAGGCUAUGAAACCAUGGCGCUAGCUGUGGUGGAGCCAUCCUUGAAAUACCACCCUGUCGUGCUUGACGUUCUAACCUAGGUCCGUAAUCCGGAUCGGGGACCGUGUAUGGUGGGUAGUUUGACUGGGGCGGUCUCCUCCUAAAGAGUAACGGAGGAGCACGAAGGUACGCUCAGCGCGGUCGGACAUCGCGCACUGUGUGCAAAGGCAUAAGCGUGCUUGACUGCAAGAUCGACGGAUCAAGCAGGUACGAAAGUAGGUCUUAGUGAUCCGGUGGUUCUGUAUGGAAGGGCCAUCGCUCAACGGAUAAAAGGUACUCCGGGGAUAACAGGCUGAUACCGCCCAAGAGUUCAUAUCGACGGCGGUGUUUGGCACCUCGAUGUCGGCUCAUCACAUCCUGGGGCUGUAGUCGGUCCCAAGGGUAUGGCUGUUCGCCAUUUAAAGUGGUACGCGAGCUGGGUUCAGAACGUCGUGAGACAGUUCGGUCCCUAUCUGCCAUGGGCGUUGGAGAUUUGAGAGGGGCUGCUCCUAGUACGAGAGGACCGGAGUGGACGAACCUCUGGUGUUCCGGUUGUCACGCCAGUGGCAUUGCCGGGUAGCUAUGUUCGGAAGCGAUAACCGCUGAAAGCAUCUAAGCGGGAAGCGCGCCUCAAGAUGAGAUCUCCCGGGACACAAGUCCCCUAAAGGAACCAUGUAGACUACGUGGUUGAUAGGUCAGGUGUGUAAGUGCAGCAAUGCAUUGAGCUAACUGAUACUAAUGAUCCGUGCGGCUUGACC
rnacentral:rRNA from 1 species